GACGAACGUUGGCGGCGUGCUUAACACAUGCAAGUCGAACGGAAAGGCCCUGCUUUUGUGGGGUGCUCGAGUGGCGAACGGGUGAGUAACACGUGAGUAACCUGCCCUUGACUUUGGGAUAACUUCAGGAAACUGGGGCUAAUACCGGAUAGGAGCUCCUGCUGCAUGGUGGGGGUUGGAAAGUUUCGGCGGUUGGGGAUGGACUCGCGGCUUAUCAGCUUGUUGGUGGGGUAGUGGCUUACCAAGGCUUUGACGGGUAGCCGGCCUGAGAGGGUGACCGGCCACAUUGGGACUGAGAUACGGCCCAGACUCCUACGGGAGGCAGCAGUGGGGAAUAUUGCACAAUGGGCGGAAGCCUGAUGCAGCAACGCCGCGUGCGGGAUGACGGCCUUCGGGUUGUAAACCGCUUUCGCCUGUGACGAAGCGUGAGUGACGGUAAUGGGUAAAGAAGCACCGGCUAACUACGUGCCAGCAGCCGCGGUGAUACGUAGGGUGCGAGCGUUGUCCGGAUUUAUUGGGCGUAAAGGGCUCGUAGGUGGUUGAUCGCGUCGGAAGUGUAAUCUUGGGGCUUAACCCUGAGUGUGCUUUCGAUACGGGUUGACUUGAGGAAGGUAGGGGAGAAUGGAAUUCCUGGUGGAGCGGUGGAAUGCGCGGAUAUCAGGAGGAACACCAGUGGCGAAGGCGGUUCUCUGGGCCUUUCCUGACGCUGAGGAGCGAAAGCGUGGGGAGCGAACAGGCUUAGAUACCCUGGUAGUCCACGCUGUAAACGGUGGGUACUAGGUGUGGGGUCCAUUCCACGGGUUCCGUGCCGUAGCUAACGCUUUAAGUACCCCGCCUGGGGAGUACGGCCGCAAGGCUAAAACUCAAAGGAAUUGACGGGGCCCCGCACAAGCGGCGGAGCAUGCGGAUUAAUUCGAUGCAACGCGUAGAACCUUACCUGGGUUUGACAUGGAUCGGGAGUGCUCAGAGAUGGGUGUGCCUCUUUUGGGGUCGGUUCACAGGUGGUGCAUGGCUGUCGUCAGCUCGUGUCGUGAGAUGUUGGGUUAAGUCCCGCAACGAGCGCAACCCUUGUUCACUGUUGCCAGCACGUUAUGGUGGGGACUCAGUGGAGACCGCCGGGGUCAACUCGGAGGAAGGUGGGGAUGACGUCAAGUCAUCAUGCCCCUUAUGUCCAGGGCUUCACGCAUGCUACAAUGGCUGGUACAGAGAGUGGCGAGCCUGUGAGGGUGAGCGAAUCUCGGAAAGCCGGUCUCAGUUCGGAUUGGGGUCUGCAACUCGACCUCAUGAAGUCGGAGUCGCUAGUAAUCGCAGAUCGGCAACGCUGCGGUGAAUACGUUCCCGGG
rnacentral:rRNA from 1 species